rnacentral:rRNA from 1 species
AAUCAACGCUGGCGGCGUGCCUCAGACAUGCAAGUCGAACGAUUAAAGCUCUCUUCGGAGAGUGUAUAGAGUGGCGCACGGGUGAGUAACACGUAAGUAAUCUACCUUCGAGUGGGGAAUACCGUCCGGAAACGGACGCUAAUACCGCAUAAUGCAGCGGCAUCGUAAGAUGACAGUUGUUAAAGAUUUUAUCGCUUGAAGAGGAGCUUGCGGCAGAUUAGCUAGUUGGUAAGGUAAUGGCUUACCAAGGCUACGAUCUGUAACCGGUCUUAGAGGACGGUCGGUCACACUGACACUGAAUAACGGGUCAGACUCCUACGGGAGGCAGCAGUCGGGAAUUUUGGGCAAUGGGCGAAAGCCUGACCCAGCAACGCCGCGUGAAGGAUGAAGUAUUUCGGUAUGUAAACUUCGAAAGAAUAGGAAGAAUAAAUGACGGUACUAUUUAUAAGGUCCGCUAACUACGUGCCAGCAGCCGCAGUAAU